UUCUAGCAAUAGACUUCAUACGAGGUGCUGCAUGGCUGUCGUCAGCUCGUGCCGUGAGGUGUUAGGUUAAGUCCUGCAACGAGCGCAACCCCUGUUUCCAGUUGCCAUCAAGUAAAGUUGGGGACUCUGGAGAGACUGCCUGCGCAAGCAGAGAGGAAGGUGGGGAUGACGUCAAGUCAGCACGGCCCUUACGUCCAGGGCUACACACGUGCUACAAUGGCCGGUACAGAGGGCAGCGACCUGGUGACAGGUAGCGAAUCUCCAAAGCCGGCCUCAGUUCGGAUCGGAGUCUGCAACUCGACUCCGUGAAGCUGGAUUCGCUAGUAAUCGGAUAUCAGCAAUGAUCCGGUGAAUACGUUCCCGGGCCUU
rnacentral:rRNA from 1 species